rnacentral:rRNA from 1 species
UGGGGAACAUUGCACAAUGGGCGCAAGCCUGAUGCAGCCAUGCCGCGUGUGUGAAGAAGGCCUUCGGGUUGUAAAGCACUUUCAGCGAGGAGGAAGGUGGUGGACUUAAUACGUUCAUCAAUUGACGUUACUCGCAGAAGAAGCACCGGCUAACUCCGUGCCAGCAGCCGCGGUAAUACGGAGGGUGCAAGCGUUAAUCGGAAUUACUGGGCGUAAAGCGCACGCAGGCGGUUUGUUAAGUCAGAUGUGAAAUCCCCGGGCUCAACCUGGGAACUGCAUUUGAAACUGGCAAGCUAGAGUCUCGUAGAGGGGGGUAGAAUUCCAGGUGUAGCAGUGAAAUGCGUAGAGAUCUGGAGGAAUACCGGUGGCGAAGGCGGCCCCCUGGACGAAGACUGACGCUCAGGCGCGAAAAGCGUGGGGAGCAAACAGGAUUAGAUACCCCUGGUUAGUCCACGCUGUAAAACGAUGUCGAUUUUGGAGGUUGUGCCCUUGAGGCGUGGNUUCCGGAGCUAACGNGUUAAAUCGACCGCCNGGGGAGUACGGCCNCAAGGUUAAAACUUAAAGGAAUUGC